rnacentral:piRNA from 1 species
UGGUGCAUUAGUGAAUUCCUAAGGAUGAA